rnacentral:rRNA from 1 species
UGCCAGCCGCCGCGGUAAUACGGAGGGUGCAAGCGUUAAUCGGAAUUACUGGGCGUAAAGCGCGCGUAGGCGGCUAUGUAAGUCGGAUGUGAAAGCCCCGGGCUCAACCUGGGAAUUGCGUUCGAUACUGCAUGACUAGAGUAUGGGAGAGGGAAGUGGAAUUUCCGGUGUAGCGGUGAAAUGCGUAGAUAUCGGAAGGAACACCAGUGGCGAAGGCGACUUCCUGGCCCAAUACUGACGCUGAGGUGCGAAAGCGUGGGGAGCAAACAGGAUUAGAUA